GAUGAACGCUGGCGGCGUGCCUAAUACAUGCCAGUCGAGCGAACGGACGAGAAGCUUGCUUCUCUGAUGUUAGCGGCGGACGGGUGAGUAACACGUGGAUAACCUACCUAUAAGACUGGGAUAACUUCGGGAAACCGGAGCUAAUACCGGAUAAUAUUUUGAACCGCAUGGUUCAAAAGUGAAAGACGGUCUUGCUGUCACUUAUAGAUGGAUCCGCGCUGCAUUAGCUAGUUGGUAAGGUAACGGCUUACCAAGGCAACGAUGCAUAGCCGACCUGAGAGGGUGAUCGGCCACACUGGAACUGAGACACGGUCCAGACUCCUACGGGAGGCAGCAGUAGGGAAUCUUCCGCAAUGGGCGAAAGCCUGACGGAGCAACGCCGCGUGAGUGAUGAAGGUCUUCGGAUCGUAAAACUCUGUUAUUAGGGAAGAACAUAUGUGUAAGUAACUGUGCACAUCUUGACGGUACCUAAUCAGAAAACCACGGCUAACUACGUG
rnacentral:rRNA from 1 species